rnacentral:rRNA from 1 species
UACGGGGGGGGCAAGCGUUGUUCGGAAUCACUGGGCGUAAAGGGCUCGUAGGCGGCCAACUAAGUCCGACGUGAAAUCCCCAGGCUUAACCUGGGAACUGCGUCGGAUACUGGAUGGCUUGAAUUCGGGAGAGGGAUGCAGAAUUCCAGGUGUAGCGGUGAAAUGCGUAGAUAUCUGGAGGAAUACCGGUGGCGAAGGCGGCAUCCUGGACCGACAUUGACGCUGAGGAGCGAAAGCUAGGGGAGCAAACGGG